AAAGACUGAAGCACACUGACAAUGAUGUCCCUCAUCCUGCUGAUCUGGACGGCCGUGCUGUUUGCUCAGAACAGCAGCGCCGACAUUAUCCUCAGUCAGCCCCAGCGGAUCCAAACUGCUCUUGUAGGACAGAGUGUCUCUCUCAAAUGCACCACCAGCACCUCCAUUAGUCAGUACUUGAUGUGGUACCAUCAGAAACCAGAGCAAGCUCCCCGCCUCCUGAUUUACGAUGCUGUUAACCGCUAUACUGGGAUUCCUGAGCGCUUCAAAGGCAGUGGAUCAGGCACAGACUUUACUCUAACCAUCAGUGACGUCCAGGACGAAGAUUCAGGAUAUUACUAUUGUCAGCAGAGGCAAAGUAGGCCCUUCACACAAUGAUAGACAGCCAUACAAAAACCUCCUCGACUUAACAGCAGUGCGGUCGUACAGAUGCUGAGGUGAAGAUCACUGAGUCAUGACGGCAACAAGCAGAGCCUGACGUUCUGUCACUCAUGAAAAGAGGUUCAGCCAUGAAGGAGAGAGUAUGGCAGGGUGGUUUUGCUGAGCUCAUAAAUAUCUUUUUAAUAGUGUUAAUUUUUUGGUUGUUCUUACUUGCUGGUCAUAGGAGUAAAAGACUCCCAAAGGGUAGUAAACAUAACAUAAUGCUGGAGCACUCCCAUCACAAUAACCAAUGCAGCAAUCGAUCUCUAACCUCUCACAUAAAGUGCACAAUCAAUCAGACCCGUUCUGUUAUCUGAGAAUAGCUGAUGGCAACUGCUUCAUAUUCAUGAAGCUGAAUGUCACAUUCUGAAUGCUUUCCCUGAUGUUUAAAUGUGUUUGUCUAUCAAAUUAAUAUUUGAUAUAAAUGAUUGCACAAACAAAAAUAAUAAAAUUCUAUAUUUAUGAUGAGAAACACAAAACACAUUGCCACUCUCCAGUGCCACAUUUAUUUACACAGGUCAUUAAUUAGAGGUUGGCUUGUUGGCUAAUGGAGACAUCAGUGCUGCAGACUGUGAGGUGGUGUAAGCUCAUAAUUCCUUAUAAAUAACCCAGUGGUGCAAGUGGUAUGAUUUGAAGACUUGUGUACUAAACAAAACACAGGUUUAAAUACUUAGCCUCACUUAGAUGUUUAAUGAGCAUGUGCAAGUACUUCCUGUCUGAUUCAUAAAUCUUGUUCAUUUAACUUUGGUUCUCUUGAGUUCAAGGGUCUUGGACCAUCUGUAUUCUGUGGGCCCUUUCUUCACCUUCCCCUUGGGAUCUCCUUAGUAUAGUUAUACCCCUUGAGGAUGGAGCUAGCACCCAGCCUCCCUGAACCGCAGCAUGCGUCCUACCUCCGGCUAUUCAGGUACGGUACUCUCCCAACUGACUGUUAAUGGAUGUUGAUUCUUCCUGGUGGGUUGCUAUGUCCUGCUCUUGGAACUUUUGUGAGUCAAUCAAAUUGCCGAAAACGGCAGUUUCACACCAACAAAGACAAAAGGAGUCAAACAAAGGUUUGGGGCAGCCACCACCUACAUUAUAGGUAGCUCUGUUGAGGAAAAGAACUGAUUCUUUUUGCAGUUGAAAAUGGAACUGCUUUACAUGCUGCAAAAAGGUUGGUUUUGUGGUGAGACAGAGUAAGUGGCGUCAUCAGGGCUGGAAACAGGAGUGGCAUUACCAGAGCCAGGUGGAAUUUCCCGUAUGUGGUCUGCAGAGAA